rnacentral:tRNA from 1 species
UCCCUGGUGGAUUAGUCGGUAAAGAAUCUGCCUGCAAUGUAGGAGACCCAGGUUCAAUCCCUGGGUUGGGAA